CUAACUGGAGUGGCGAACGGGUGAGUAACGCGUGGGUGACCUACCUUCGAGUGGGGGAUAACGUCCCGAAAGGGACGCUAAUACCGCAUGACAUCCUGCCUUUGAACAGGCGGAGAUCAAAGCCGGGGAUCGCAAGACCUGGCGCUUGAUGAGGGGCCCGCGUCUGAUUAGCUAGUUGGUGAGGUAACGGCUCACCAAGGCGACGAUCAGUAUCCGGCCUGAGAGGGCGGACGGACACACUGGGACUGAGACACGGCCCAGACUCCUACGGGAGGCAGCAGUGGGGAAUUGUUCACAAUGGGCGCAAGCCUGAUGACGCAACGCCGCGUGGAGGAUGAAGGUCUUCGGAUUGUAAACUCCUGUUGCUCGGGAAGAAUGGCUCCGACCUAAUACGUCGGAGUGUGACGGUACCGGGUGAGGAAGCCCCGGCUAACUCUGUGCCAGCAGCCGCGGUAAUACAGAGGGGGCAAGCGUUGUUCGGAAUUACUGGGCGUAAAGGGCGCGUAGGCGGCCUGUUAAGUCGAACGUGAAAUCCCCGGGCUCAACCCGGGAACUGCGUCCGAUACUGGCAGGCUUGAAUUCGGGAGAGGGAUGUGGAAUUCCAGGUGUAGCGGUGAAAUGCGUAGAUAUCUGGAGGAACACCGGUGGCGAAGGCGGCAUCCUGGACCGAUAUUGACGCUGAUGCGCGAAAGCCAGGGGAGCAAACGGGAUUAGAUACCCCGGUAGUCCUGGCC
rnacentral:rRNA from 1 species